rnacentral:rRNA from 1 species
CCUGGUUGAUCCUGCCAGUAGUCAUAUGCUUGUCUCAAAGAUUAAGCCAUGCAUGUCUAAGUAUAAACUACUUUAUACAGUGAAACUGCGAUGGCUCAUUAAAUCAGUUAUAGUUUAUUUGAUAUUAACUUACUACUUGGAUAACCGUGGUAAUUCUGCAGCUAAUACAUGCGUUAAAGUCCAACUUCUGGAAGGACUGUACUUAUUAGAUUUAAGCCAACCCUAGCAAUAGGAUUAAGGUUGAUUCAUGAUAAUUUUUCGAAUCGUAUGACUUUGUGUCGACGAUGGUUCAUUCAAAUUUCUGCCCUAUCAACUUUCGAUUGUAGUGUAUUGGACUACAAUGGUUUUAACGGGUAACGGAGAAUUAGGGUUCGAUUCCGGAGAGGGAGCCUGAGAAACGGCUACCACAUCCAAGGAAGGCAGCAGGCGCGCAAAUUACCCAAUCCUGAUACAGGGAGGUAGUGACAAUAAAUAACAAUACAGAACUUUCGAGUUUUGUAAUUGGAAUGAGAACAAUUUAAAUCCCUUAACGAGGAACAAUUGGAGGGCAAGUCUGGUGCCAGCAGCCGCGGUAAUUCCAGCUCCAAUAGCGUAUAUUCAAGUUGUUGCAGUUAAAAAGCUCGUAGUUGAAUUUUGGCGCUGGUUGUGUGGUUUGGACUAACGUUCAAUACUGCAGGACUGGCGCUUUCCUUCUAGGGAACUAGUGUGCCAUUAAUUUGGUGGGCUAGGGAUCUAGGACUGUUACUUUGAAAAAAUUAGAGUGUUUAAAACAGGCUUAUGCUUGAAUACAUUAGCAUGGAAUAACGGAAUAGGACUUUGUCUUAUUUUGUUGGUUUAGGAGACAAAGUAAUGAUUAAUAGGGACGGUUAGGGGCAUUAGUAUUCCACAGUCAGAGGUGAAAUUCUUGGAUUUGUGGAAGACUAACUUCUGCGAAAGCAUUUGCCAGGCACGCUUUCAUUAAUCAGGAACGAAAGUUAGGGGAUCGAAGACGAUCAGAUACCGUCGUAGUCUUAACAGUAAACGAUGCCGAUUCAGGAUCCUAGGGUGUUAUAUUAUUGACCUCUAGGGCACUGUAUGAGAAAUCAAAGUUUUUGGGUUCCGGGGGGAGUAUGGUCGCAAGGCUGAAACUUAAAGGAAUUGACGGAAGGGCACCACCAGGAGUGGAGCCUGCGGCUUAAUUUGACUCAACACGGGGAAACUUACCAGGUCCAGACAUA